CGAACGGGUGAGUAACACGUGGGUAACCUGCCCAUUAGAAGGGGAUAACACUUGGAAACAGGUGCUAAUACCGUAUAACAAUCGAAACCGCAUGGUUUCGGUUUGAAAGGCGCUUUUGCGUCACUGAUGGAUGGACCCGCGGUGCAUUAGCUAGUUGGUGAGGUAACGGCUCACCAAGGCAACGAUGCAUAGCCGACCUGAGAGGGUGAUCGGCCACAUUGGGACUGAGACACGGCCCAA
rnacentral:rRNA from 1 species